rnacentral:rRNA from 1 species
GCUGGCGGCGUGCCUAACACAUGCAAGUCGAGCGGUAACAGGUGUAGCAAUACAUGCUGACGAGCGGCGAACGGGUGAGUAAUGCUUCGGAAUCUGCCCAAUGGUGGGGAAUAACCAGCCGAAAGGUUGGCUAAUACCGCAUACGACCUACGGGUGAAAGCAGGGGAUCGUAAGACCUUGCGCCGAUGGAUGAGCCGAAGUCGGAUUAGCUAGUUGGUAGGGUAACGGCCUACCAAGGCGACAAUCCGUAGCUGGUCUGAGAGGACGACCAGCCACACUGGGACUGAGACACGGCCCAGACUCCUACGGGAGGCAGCAGUGGGGAAUAUUGGACAAUGGGGGCAACCCUGAUCCAGCGACGCCGCGUGUGUGAAGAAGGCCUGCGGGUUGUAAAGCACUUUUAGUGGGGAUGAAAAGCCGAAGGUUAAUACCUUUCGG